CCCGAAUUAAUGACCCAGUCUCCGAAUAGAUCGGCGAAAGGGUGCAUCUACGCGUCUCCCUGGCCAGCGCCGCUUAAUGGCUAAUUGCGUCUUAAUUCCCAACGCCAACUUUGGCAAAGACACCCUUGGGGUUUCUUCUUCCUCGAGGAGCUGCUCAGCGAGAGACCACUCGACGACAGCCAGCGCUCGGUGCCUGGCCUACCCGUGCCAGUGCUCGUGGUCGUACCAACUUCUCCGCUCCGAUUGUGACUGCGGGCGGACGAAUCCUGGCCGUUUUCGACGAUUCUCCAUCCCAGAAUUCAUGGCGAGUGGCGGACGAUUAAAAAUGGCCGCGACAGAGCUCAACACGACUAGCCAAUGAGGAACGGGCAUGCCGUGCCGCCGAACUUCUCAGAGUGAUCGGUCUCAGGAAGCGGAGAAGCCAGAUGGCGACGUCAGCCAGGUGUGCGCCCCCAAUCAACGCAACUCUUCGACAACGGAUCUUCACCCCCGCCAAAGCACGACAGCUGACCAGCGGCCAACAGCGUGGCUUCACACUGGCAGGACAAAUGGACCCUACUCCAUCAAAAAUUGCGGCUUUUCUCCGAAUUAUGUGCAGUAGCCCGAUGACGGAAUCGACCCCGCCUUUCCUUGUCACGAUUGCAUAAAGAUGGGGGGAAAUAAUCACC